rnacentral:rRNA from 1 species
GUACAGACGAGUUUGACUCCUGGCUCAGGACGAACGCUGGCGGCGUGCCUAACACAUGCAAGUCGAACGAGGUCCAUGCAGUGGCAACACUGCGGAAGACCUAGUGGCGAACGGGUGAGUAACACGUGAGGAACCUGCCCCGAAGACCGGGAUAACCCUCCGAAAGGAGAGCUAAUACCGGAUAUCCCCAUCGGAUCGCAUGAUCUGAUGAGGAAAUGGAUUCCGCUUCGGGAGGGCCUCGCGGCCUAUCAGCUUGUUGGCGGGGUAACGGCCCACCAAGGCAUCGACGGGUAGCUGGUCUGAGAGGACGAUCAGCCACACUGGGACUGAGACACGGCCCAGACUCCUACGGGAGGCAGCAGUGGGGAAUCUUGCGCAAUGGGCGAAAGCCUGACGCAGCAACGCCGCGUGGGGGAUGAAGGCUCUCGGGUUGUAAACCCCUUUCAGCAGGGACGAAUCAAGACGGUACCUGCAGAAGAAGCCCCGGCUAACUACGUG